rnacentral:rRNA from 1 species
AGGAUUAACGCUGGCGGCGUGCCUAACACAUGCAAGUCGAACGAGGUAGCAAUACCUAGUGGCAGACGGGUGAGUAACACGUGACCAACCUACCCUUUAGUGGGGGAUAACUAGCCGAAAGGUUAGCUAAUACCGCAUGAAACGUGCUGUGGCAUCACAGAACGUUAAAAGAAGAAAUUCGCUUAAGGACGGGGUCGCGUCCCAUUAGCUAGUUGGUGGGGUAACGGCCUACCAAGGCACCGAUGGGUAGCUGGUUUGAGAGAGCGACCAGCCACACUGGAACUGAGAUACGGUCCAGACUCCUACGGGAGGCAGCAGUGAGGAAUUUUCGUCAAUGGGGGCAACCCUGAACGAGCAACGCCGCGUGCAGGAAGAAGGUUUUCGGAUCGUAAACUGCUUUUCUCGGGGAAGAGAACGGACGGUACCCGAGGAAUCAGCCCCGGCUAACUACGUGCCAGCAGCCGC